GUUUAUUUCAAGUGCGAAUUUGGCAGCCAACUCUGGAUCCCUACCUCUGCGGUGCCUAGAAGAAAAUAUGGCUGUCUUCUUGUUUGCCAGGGCUACCCAAGGUCAAAGAAUAUCCUAUUACCCAUCCAUACAGCCCAUACACCUCCCCAAGUUCUGGCAAAUGGGAUCAUAUAGUACUACCCGGAGCCCUACAUUUAUUGCUGGUUUUGACAUUUCAUAUGGACGAGAAGAAGCUGUGCCUCAGGAACCCUAGACAUGGAUGGACUACUUAGUCUAUUGGCAUCCAUGUAAUGCAGUACCAGGCCUUAAUUGACCAUGAACUCUCCUAGAGCAUGCAAAAGCAACUGUAUCAUCGUGGGUCAUCUAAGAAGACACAGAGUGCCAUCUGCUGGCCCAUUCUUCCAACUUCACUGGGAACUAAAGAUGAAGGGCGAUUAGAGGCUGGGGCAGUGAGCACCUUCCAUGGUGGAAGUUCUGUCAUGCUAAGGAAGCAGGA
ensembl:lncRNA LOC102547109 uncharacterized LOC102547109